rnacentral:rRNA from 1 species
UUGGCGGACGGGUGAGUAACGCGUGGGUAACCUGCCUUACACAGGGGGAUAACACUUAGAAAUAGGUGCUAAAACCGCAUAAGCGCACAGCUUCGCAUGAAGCGGUGUGAAAAACUCCGGUGGUGUAAGAUGGACCCGCGUCUGAUUAGCUUGUUGGCGGGGUAACGGCCCACCAAGGCGACGAUCAGUAGCUGGCCUGAGAGGGCGGACGGCCACAUUGGGACUGAGACACGGCCCAGACUCCUACGGGAGGCAGCAG